rnacentral:rRNA from 1 species
GACGUAGGGAGCGAGCGUUGUCCGGAUUCAUUGGGCGUAAAGGGUGCGUAGGCGGUCGGGUAAGUCGGAUGUGAAAUCCCAGGGCUCAACCCUGGAACUGCAUUCGAUACUGCCUGGCUAGGGUACUGGAGAGGAGACUGGAAUUUACGGUGUAGCAGUGAAAUGCGUAGAUAUCGUAAGGAAGACCAGUGGCGAAGGCGAGUCUCUGGACAGUUACCGACGCUGAGGCACGAAGGCCAGGGGAGCAAACGGG